rnacentral:rRNA from 1 species
UACGUAGGUGGCAAGCGUUAUCCGGAAUUAUUGGGCGUAAAGCGCGCGCAGGUGGUUUCUUAAGUCUGAUGUGAAAGCCCACGGCUCAACCGUGGAGGUUCAUUGGAAACUGGGAGACUUGAGUGCAGAAGAGGAAAGUGGAAUUCCAUGUGUAGCGGUGAAAUGCGUAGAGAUAUGGAGGAACACCAGUGGCGAAGGCGACUUUCUGGUCUGUAACUGACACUGAGGCGCGAAAGCGUGGGGAGCAAACAGG